CUCAAGAAUUGGCGGAGGGGCGCACAAGCGGUGGAUUAUGUGUUUAAUUCGAUGAUACGCGAGGAACCUUACCAAGACUUAAAUGGGAAAUGACAGAUUUAGAAAUAGAUCCUUCUUCGGACAUUUUUCAAGGUGCUGCAUGGUUGUCGUCAGCUCGUGCCGUGAGGUGUUAGGUUAAGUCCUGCAACGAGCGCAACCCCUGUCACUAGUUGCUAGCAUUAAGUUGAGGACUCUAGUGAGACUGCCUACGCAAGUAGAGAGGAAGGUGGGGAUGACGUCAAAUCAUCACGGCCCUUACGUCUUGGGCCACACACGUAAUACAAUGGCCGGUACAGAGGGCAGCUACACAGCGAUGUGAUGCAAAUCUCGAAAGCCGGUCUCAGUUCGGAUUGGAGUCUGCAACUCGACUCUAUGAAGCCGGAAUCGCUAGUAAUCGCGCAUCAGCCAUGGCGCGGUGAAUACGUUCCCGGCCUUUGCACACACCGCCCG
rnacentral:rRNA from 1 species